rnacentral:misc_RNA from 1 species
GGAAAUGUCAUUAGAAGCUGAACAAGUAAGCCUUGUUCCAGUAGUUUCUUCCAGAGUAAAUAAGUUCAAGCUGUCAUUAUUUGAAAUCCUCUCUGAAAUUGAGUCCUUAAUUGCAGUAGCAUCAGGAGAAGAUCAUGAAUUGGUAGUAUCUGAUUGCUGACAUUCUUGCUUAUGAACUUGCUUCCAAUGAAUUGUUUGACAUCUCUCGAAACAAUAUCUAACAGAUUUGCAUCUAGA